rnacentral:rRNA from 1 species
UUAAUGCGAUGGGGGGACGGAGAAGGUUAGGUCAGCCGGGUGUUGGAUGUCCCGGUUUAAGCGUGUAGGCGUGCUUUCUAGGCAAAUCCGGAAAGCUUAGCUGAGGCGUGAUGACGAGUGGUCUUUGACCGCGAAGUGAUUGAUACCAAGCUUCCAAGAAAAGCCUCUAAGCUUCAGUUACAAAGAGACCGUACCGCAAACCGACACAGGUGGGCAGGAUGAGAAUUCUAAGGCGCUUGAGAGAACUCAGGAGAAGGAACUCGGCAAAUUAGCACCGUAACUUCGGGAUAAGGUGCGCCCCAGUAGAGUGUAGAUCCUCGCGAUCGAAGCUCGAUGGGGUUGCAGUGAAAUGGUGGCUGCGACUGUUUAAUAAAACACAGCACUCUGCAAACACGAAAGUGGACGUAUAGGGUGUGACGCCUGCCCGGUGCCGGAAGGUUAAGUGAUGGGGUGCAAGCUCUUGAUCGAAGCCCCGGUAAACGGCGGCCGUAACAAUAACGGUCCUAAGGUAGCGAAAUUCCUUGUCGGGUAAGUUCCGACCUGCACGAAUGGCGUAACGAUGGCCACACUGUCUCCUCCUGAGACUCAGCGAAAUUGAAAUGUUUGUGAAGAUGCAAUCUCCCCGCGGCUAGACGGAAAGACCCCAUGAACCUUUACUGUAGCUUUGCAUUGGACUGUGAACCGACCUGUGUAGGAUAGGUGGGAGACUGUGAGACCAGGACGCUAGUUCUGGUGGAGUCAACCUUGAAAUACCACCCUGGUUUGUUUGCGGUUCUAACCUUGGUCUGUGAAUCCAGAUCGGGGACCGUGCAUGGUAGGCAGUUUGACUGGGGCGGUCUCCUCCCAAAAGGUAACGGAGGAGUACGAAGGUACGCUAGGUACGGUCGGACAUCGUGCUAAUAGUGCAAUGGCAUAAGCGUGCUUGACUGCGAGACCCACAAGUCGAGCAGGUGCGAAAGCAGGUCAUAGUGAUCCGGUGGUUCUGUAUGGAAGGGCCAUCGCUCAACGGAUAAAAGGUACUCUGGGAUAACAGGCUGAUACCGCCCAAGAGUUCAUAUCGACGGCGGUGUUUGGCACCUCGAUGUCGGCUCAUCUCAUCCUGGGGCUGUAGCCGGUCCCAAGGGUAUGGCUGUUCGCCAUUUAAAGAGGUACGCGAGCUGGGUUUAAAACGUCGUGAGACAGUUUGGUCCCUAUCUGCCGUGGGCGUUGGAAGUUUGAGAGGGGCCGCUCCUAGUACGAGAGGACCGGAGUGGACGAACCUCUGGUGUACCGGUUAUGACGCCAGUCGUAUCGCCGGGUAGCUAAGUUCGGAAGAGAUAAACGCUGAAAGCAUCUAAGCGUGAAACUCGCCUCAAGAUGAGACUUCCCUGGGGGUUCAAUCCCCCUGUAGGGUCGUGGAAGACCACCACGUUGAUAGGUCGGGUGUGGAAGCGG